GGGUCCAUAGCUCAGCGGCUAGAGCACGUGGUUCAUACCCACGGUGUCAGAGGUUCGAAUCCUCUUGGACCCACCA
rnacentral:tRNA from 1 species